rnacentral:rRNA from 1 species
CCUACGGGAGGCUGCAGUGGGGAAUAUUGGACAAUGGGCGAAAGCCUGAUCCAGCCAUGCCGCGUGUGUGAAGAAGGCCUUCGGGUUGUAAAGCACUUUCAGUGGGGAAGAAAGCCUUGGGGCUAAUACCCUCGAGGAAGGACAUCACCCACAGAAGAAGCACCGGCUAACUCCGUGCCAGCAGCCGCGGUAAUACGGAGGGUGCGAGCGUUAAUCGGAAUUACUGGGCGUAAAGCGCGCGUAGGCGGUCUGAUAAGCCGGUUGUGAAAGCCCCGGGCUCAACCUGGGAACGGCAUCCGGAACUGUCAGGCUAGAGUGCAGGAGAGGAAGGUAGAAUUCCCGGUGUAGCGGUGAAAUGCGUAGAGAUCGGGAGGAAUACCAGUGGCGAAGGCGGCCUUCUGGACUGACACUGACGCUGAGGUGCGAAAGCGUGGGUAGCAAACAGGAUUAGAUACCCUAGUCGUC